UAUUAAAAAAAAAAAAUCAUUCUGUAGCUUCUAAGUUGGCCCUAGGGUAAAGUAAACAAGUUCACAAGAAUCGUUUCCCAAUGCUUCUUCUGUGCCAGGUCCUCUGCUAGGUACUGUGGUGAGUGCCAGGAGCCCACAAGACUUGCAGAGAGUGCUACAGGGCCGACUCAGGAAGCACCAGCAGCCAGGAGGCAGGAGAGUUGGAUGCUCUGUGCCUGGGUCUACAGAGGGUGGUGUACUGGUACUGAGGUGGGUUCCGUGCGGCAUGCAAAUAGAGACAGUAUGUUCCUGGACUGGUUGGGCUCAGGUACCUCCAAACCCAGCAGGUGUCCCCAAUAUGAGAAGCUUGCGGGGAGCGGUGGCUGAACCCCCUCCCCAGAAGGCAGCUCGCAGCUGCCUCACCCAGCCCCAUAUGGUCUCUGUGAGGAAUGCUUUCCUUGGACAAAGCAAAAGCCAGGGCAGCAGGCCGGAGGAAGCAUGCUCCCUGCCUUAAAUAGAAGCAAGCCAGGGCUGGUAGAGAGUUUGCAGAGGAGGAUGGGCUUCGGGCUAGAGUGCUUUAAAGAAAGCUCAGUGGUUAUACUGUCUUACUGCCUAUGCCCGUAAGGCAGAGGCGGGGCUCGGGGCUGUACAUCUUACGAGAGAUCUGAGGUGGCUCUCUUCUCCACCACAACCCUGCAGAGCGGGGGCUGGGUAGCAGCUUUCUCUCCUGCAAGCGCAGUGAAGUACCAAUGUCUUGUAGGCAUUGCCAGUGAUGCCACACACGACAGCAAUUAAGCAACACACCACACAUUCCAAAGGAGUCUCCGAGAGCCCCAAGAUGAGCAAUUCCAUAAUAUAGGAGAGGUUCGGAGACUGAGCCAGCACUGAAGGGUGACCGAAGGGUGACAAGGCAUGGUGAUGCUGGCCUCUGAAUGCAUUCAAGCACACUCUGAAGGCCUCCCUGGGGCUCCCUCCUGUCGGCUUCUUAGUUCCCUCAUGCAGUCAGAAAGGUGGCAAGUCACGGUGUGGCUGGCUGAGCUCCACCACUCAGAGAAAGAUGGGGUCAAAUGAAGAAUGCUGAGAGAUGCUUAGCAUAGAGGACAUGAGAGGAAGCCCCCUCAAGAGGACCCAUAUGGGAGAAGUCAAAACGCUUUGAUCAAAGUGUCCAGAAGGUGCUGACAGAGACUCCAAUUUCACCCAAAACAUUCUGGUCUCCUCACCAAAGUGGAAGUGCCCGGCGGAAGCCGGUGGGCCAGUCUGUGUAUCUCCGCGCUACUGGGCAGUGAGCCAGUCACACCACUGACAUUGCCCCCUGGGGUAUGACACCAAGUAGGCUCCCAGCAGUUUACACACACAGGGAAAGAAGCCUUUUAUCCUAGGACCCUACCUCUACACCACAGGACCCCUUGGUUUCUGACCGCAAGUCUUUCUUGACAGAAAACCCGGCAUGGAGACUCCAGACCACAGACAGACCAAGAGCUGUCUGUUAUAAGGGGUCAGGACACCCCAAGAAUGGGUGCCUCCUCCAGGAUCCACACUAUCCCCUCUCGGUCCCCUCAUCAAUGAACUUAGAGAGCACUCAGGCCUACAAACUCCCCAGCUUCUUGACCGGCUGCAAAGCAGAGCAGUUCCCCGGUCCCCGCCACCGCCCACACGGGUACACACUUCCAUGGGUCUCUGUACAGAGAGGUGUCGAGAACCACCACCACCCACUUCAAGAACUGUGUCACAAGAAAUUCUACCACAUCCCAGGCGAGAGAGCACCAGCCCCCUCAGCCUUCUGUAGCCAGAACAAACGUGGGCGGAGCCUGCAUCCUGGCAGGAGGAUGCCACCCAAGAGGCAGCCGAGUCCUGAGGCAGAAGGCAACAAGAGUCCUGGGUGCCAGUUCCACUCUGCCGUCACCACCUCUGUAAUCAGGUGAAUCUUUCUGAACUUCAGUAUCCACAGCCACAAGGUAGGACAGCCUACUGUCCUUGGUGCUUGUGGGACCGGAUUUGGGUUUAUAGGAGGGAUUUUUUUUUCAAGUGCUUUAUAAAGCACUCUCAAAUGUUAGCUAUAUUUACAUUGAUUUUAUUGCUGGACUCCCAGGAGCCGACUGGGCAUUUAUUCAAGGCCUUUUGUGACUGAUGCCAGGCACCCUCACAGGCUGGGCAGAGGGACAGGCUGCUGCUCUCAUGGGACUGCCAGACCCCAGACACUGAAAGGUCCAGGUCUCGUGAAUUCCUGGUUUCCACCCCUAAUCAGGAGGACCUAUCCUGAUUAGAAGUUCUAUCUGGGGGUUGGGGAUUUAGCUCAGUGGUAGAGCGCUUGCCUAGCAAGCACAAGGCCCUGGGUUCGGUCCCCGGCUCCGAAAAAAAAAAGAAAAAAGAAGUUCUAUCUGUCCAGGUGGGGGUGACAGGGGUCCCUAGUAAGCCUAGAGAUGGCCUGAGGGAGACUCAGUGGGCUGAGGCACACCCCAAGUCUCACCUGACCUCCUGACUCAGUCUGCCCUGCCACAACCCUCCCCCCAAAGUAAGUUUCCCAGGACUGGUGACACAGGAAACACUGCUGGCUUGGUCCCCUACUAAAAGCAAUGCAGGCUGGGCAAAGGCUCAGCUUCCAGACAGCAGGCCUGAGAACUUGGGAGGCGAUGUGGAAGGAAACAAGCAGAAAGUGAGCCCGUCCUUCCCCACUGCUGCUCAAAUCUGUCCUGAGGCAGGGCUGCUCAGAUAUGCAGCACCCUUACCUGGGAGUAGACAGAGACCCACACUCUGAGCCCUCACUCUUCCGUGCCGGUGCAGAGACUGGGGGGGAAAGGGGAUGGCCACCAUGUGAAACGUGUGCUCUGAGCCUUCAGAACCACACUCAGCUUAGUUAGAACCACAGCUGUAGUCUAUGCCCUCCCUUCAGCUGCACAGCCGUUAGAACCUACUGGGAACUUUAGGGUACAACAAUGUCGGGGUGCAUUCCACAGAGAGGUACUCUACUGGUGCCCACCCCUCCGCCCUGUGCUCCUUUAAAUGUUCUUGGAGAGAAGCAGGCAUGGAGGAUUCUCAGGACUGAAGAAGUCCUCUGUGGGACACUAAGAUGGCCGCCGUGCGUCAUUAUAGUCCUCCCAUGCCCACUGCACAGCACCAGGAGUGGACACUAAGGCCAACUGUGGACUCUGAAUGACAAUGAUGUGUCCAAGAAGGUUUGUCCACUGACUGCAACUGCACUACUCCGGGAAGAUUCUGGUAAUGGGGGAUGUACGCGUCAGGGGUUAUGGAUAGCAAUUGCAUGAUGUACUAUGUUCUCUCUAAAUGCUGCUAUUUUAUUUAAUCUGUUCUUUAAAAAUCCCCCAGGUCAAAGGUUGCAGAUAUAGCUCUGCAGAUAGUCUAUCACCAAUCAUCCAUGAAGUCCUGUGUUCAAUCCCCAACACUAUGUAAAACAGGUGUGGUAGUACACGUCUAUAAUCCCCGAACCUGGGAGGCAGAAACAGGAGAGUUAGAAAUUCAAGUCAUCCUUGGCUUAACAAGUAAAUCAAAGGGCUAGCUUUGGCUACAAAAGAUCUUGUCUUGGAAGGAAGGAAGGAAGGAAGGAAGGAAGGAAGGAAGGAAGGAAGGAAGGAAGGAAGGAAGGAAGGAAGGAAAAGAAGUAAGUAAGUAAAAGUAAUCUUCCAGGUAAUUCUGGUGUGUGAACCCUGGGAUGACAUCUGGAGUGUGGACAGGACAAUCGGGCUUCAGAGACAACAGAGAGCAAGAAGGAUGCCUUGUGGCUGAAUCUUGAGGAGGGGAGGGGCCUUCCCAGCAAGCAGCCUCAGGAAGGAGGCACCCGUGUUCUGAUGGUGCCGGCUGUGUGAGAACCACCAGUACAAACAAGACUGUUCGACAACCAUCGUUUCAGAUAACCCACCAGUACAAACAACAGAAAACAGCACGCUGUCUCCAAGGGUUGCCUUGCCUUGAUUCUCUAUAAGCCUUUUACUGAAGUAUACACAUGUGAUAAGAACAGGCCUCUGGGUUCAAUCCCCAGUACCACAAGGAAAUAAAGUGUGUCUUUUAAAGGAAGGAGGAAAAAAGAAAGCGUGUAUGUAAGUGGACACCCAGGACCAAGACUGAGACACAAAUAUUUGCAGGUACCUUGUGUUCCCAUGCAGCGCCCUCUCCCCACGGUGGUCCAUUUCUGGCCUGCCUCUCACCUCCAAAGCACAGAUCUGAAGGCCUCGACCUUCGCCUACAUAGAAGGUACACUGAGUACACUCACUAGCUUAGGUCCUCCAUUAGAUUCUGUGAGACUCAGCUAUGGCAGCAGACAGUUCACCCUCACAGAUGCAUCUCCUACACUCCUCUGAUUGACAUAAGCAAGUCUUUCCCUGGAGGCAGAAUCACAGGGUCAGAGUGACCAAGCCACUCUCCUAAACCCCAGUCAGACUCUUACCCUGCUGGGCUCCCCUCCACCCCCCAGCCCUAUAUAUCACAUGCAUUCAUUACUGUUUCAGACUCUUGCCCUGUAAGUCAUGCAUGCUCCACAAAGACAGGGUGCUGUGCUGUGUUCCCUGGAUACAGCUUGACCUAGAACAGAUGCACCUCUGGCUAGCCAGAGAACUCCUGCCCUCACUUGUGCACACAAGCAGAGGGCUCUGCUCUCAGGACCCCCCGGCUGUCAGUGAGGCCUCUGUUGAAGCUGAGGGCCCCCAGUCACGCUUGCAGACACAAGAAUCAGAGAUCACAGUGGCUCUUGGGACAAGUCUAAUUAGUGGUGGAGCACCAGGAAAUUGGUAUAGCACCCACUUAGGGGAGGUGCAGUGAGGAAGGUAGAGACGGAGACUCUGCUUGGAGAGGAACUCAGGCCUCGUGGGCUCUGGUGAGUAGCAUUGGUACCUCUGGGGUUGCCUGUUCCAAAGCUCCUACAGAGAGAAGGCAGGGAGGGCAGUGCGAGCACACACUGGGACUGGACUGAAGGCAAAGACCAAUCCUGGCAGACAAGAACGAAGAAUGACUAUAGUAUAUGGCAACGACAGAACACAGAGUGACAAGGCAAGGCCUGGGGUCGUCCUUGGCUGUGUGGCAGGUAUGGGCUUCGCUGUGCCCAUACUGAGAAGGUCCCUAGGUUACAGCCGCCAGGUCCCUGGUUCUUCACUGGUGAACUGACCGCACACGUGUUGGUUCUAAACCACACUGCUUCGGCAAGAACCUAGGGGACAGACCAAGCUGACAGUCAAAGCACCCAACCGGGGGGAGGGGAGGGGGGGACAGACAAGAGGGUCAGAGUUAAAAUACUAUCACACGGCAUCUUAAACAAUUCACUCACUCCAGCCAAGGCUGGCCACAGCGACACUUUCCGCCCAGAGCUCAAUCCAGAACCUUCUACACCAUGUGAGAGCAAGCAAGGCCUCUGCUUCAGCGCCUCAGACCCCAGUGUCGCUGUGGCAACGGGCCACAAACACGGGGAGCCCAGGCUUCAGCACUACAAACAACCCUGACAGAUUCAAUAAAUAAAAACGCACUACGGCAAUUCGUGGGGGAAUUUAUGAGAAAUUAAAAUUUCGACUUGGACAAUAAACAACCCGUUUCAGAAUCUGCCCCACUUAAAGCUAAAUAAACCGCGUACAAGGAUUUUUGGAGCAUGAGGAGGUGAGGCUAAAAGCGGGCCUGGCGGGGAGUGCCUCGUGGCCCUCCACACCAAGAGCACUCUGCGGAGCACACAUGCCUGCUUCUCCUCUGCAGCUCCAUGCCUGGUCCUUCCAAAAGCCACCUGGGCCACAGAAAGGCGAGGACGAGGAACUCAAGUGUGCACGAACUCAAUCAAUCGGUGUCACGUGGUGAAUGACCCAGGGUCGCAAAGCCCAUCAAGGUCAGAGGCAAGAGGCAAAGCUGCAGGUCAGCCCGAUUCCAAUGCUCCCGUGUGCACAGGGGAGAGCCUCAAGCAGAUCAAGGAAAUUCUCAUUCAUUCACCACACACAGGCGGAGGGGCUCAGAUCCCAGGAUUCUGCGGUAUGAGUACACACAGCAUCGAGAUGAAAGGCUGAGGGGAGACAGGGAUGGAUGGUUCUGUGGGGAUAUCUCCCACUCCUGCUUUCUGAAGAGUCAGAGACUCUGGAAAGGCACAUCAAAGAUGGGACCCAAGAGACACUGCACAAUCCUCUUUACAGAGAGGAAACCAAAGGGCAGCCCACACUGCAAAGGCACUGGAUAGGCUGUGGCUCAAGCAGGGAGCCAACAGCCUUGGCCUGAUGCUUUCUCUUGUGGUAGGUGCCACAUGCCCAAUUCUCAUCUAGGUUUGGUGCAUAAGGUCCUUGAUGGAGAAAAGGGAUCAUGACCUGAGGUUCAAUAGACUGAUGCCUAAUCUCUUAAGGGACCACCUGAUUGUGGGUGGGACAGAUUUGCCAGCAGGUGCCACAUGGUUCUGGCAAAGAGACCUGCUCAGCCACAGAGACAUGGACCAGAAAGGAACUACCCUUCUUCCCAGCUCUGUAAUGCAAUCCUAUGGCCAUCCAUGUCCCAAAGUCUCUGGUGAAGAGUAAGUCAGAGGCUUGGUCAUCUCUGUCCUUACAGGACAGCAAAGGACCUGGCAGGGAGUCCUGGGAGGAAUCUAGGAACAAAAGGAUUGUAGGGGGCCAACUACCCAUCACUGGUUCACUCCUCAGCUUGCAACCUGGCAACCCCAGGGGUCAGACGGAAUUCAACUGUGAGAGACACCAUGAGGGAAAAGCAAAUGUCACAUACAUCCCUGUAGCACACGUGACAACAAUGUGCUGGGCCUAGAAGGACAAACCCAAUGCAGUGUUCAAUUCCCCCAGGUACCCAGGCCAUUUCCCCUAGGAACUUUGUAAAAAGUUGGUUUGAAAAGCUACAAACCAAUAAAUAUUAUUCAUAUUUAUGGAGAGCACAGUAAUCAUCAUAGCCCUGCCCCUACAACACGAGAGCUGGACACUCAUGGCAAUAAUAUUUACAACAGCAACAAAGGAGAAACCAGGGACAGCAUCCACUCAUGGCAGCUAGGUGCCAUGAUUUGCACCAUAAGUUGUUUAAAAUACAGCAAUGAACAGUCUAUCUCUGUUUACUAUCACAGUAAAAAGGGACCACAUGCAUGCCCCGAGUAUGAAGAAACAUAUUUUGCUUCUCCUAUAGGUUACAAAGGAGGCUCUGGAUCUUCUAGAAGGCCAUUUAAAGAAGCCCUCUAGAAGGUCAGAAAAUCACAAGGACAGAGAGACAACUCCAGAAGGGGCCCUGGUCCUAUAGCAGCUUUGUGCUAUCACAGAAGUAAAGGAGGUCACUAGCGGUCCAGCUGGAGGAGACCCUUAGCUUGUCUUUCCCCUAGAAUAUGGAAGGGCAGGAAUCCCCAUCCCCAGUGGGAAGAGAAGACACUGAGGUUGCGGGUAGCAAAGUAACAACGGCCUGUGCGAUAGGCCCUGAGGCAAACAGCCUCAGACGUUGCUCUUCCAGGCCCUGCUGCCUGGGCUGAGAGGCAGCCCUGGUCACUAGCCUAUCAAGCUCAGUCACUGUAGGCACCAACACCGUCCAUCAUGCCAGGCUCUAAUUCUGCCCUACUCCUGGGCCCUCAGCUCAGACCCAGAGGCUAACUUGGCUCCUACUGAUCUUGGGGAGAAGACAGCAAACCAAAAGACCUCCUCCCUACCAGAAAACCGUACCCUUUUCCCACCUGAGAUGAGAGAAGCACAAUCAAGGCCAAAAUUCCCUAUUAGUCAAGGGUGGGCUUCAUAAGACCAGAAUUAUUCUGGUAGACGAUGAGGGUCUACAAAGUCCUUGCCCAGUACAGCCCUGCCUGGCCUCCUGAGCGCCUCCUGGCACUGGAGCUAAGCUGCAUAAGGGUCUCCCACCUGUCCUCAUGUCAUCUCAAGCUUUGGCCUUGCCACCAUCUGAUCAAUGGGCCCCAGAAAGGUUGUACCCACUUGCCCAGAACUGUACAGCUAUGAAAGGGUAUGGCUGGAACUACAGCUGAAUCCUAACUGAUGGCGUGUGGAGUCCAGGCCUCAGGAACCCAAACCCAUCUUUGCUGCAAUUUACUGGACAGUAGACGGUAAAGCUGGCUCCACAUGGGCAGCCAAGUCUUGCCUAAAAGUAGACAAUAUCAAAACAAGCCAGCAAGGGAAAGCGCAAACAGUGGAUCUCUAUUGCUACAGGGCUGGUCAUGGAGGCCCAGCCCAAUGACAAAGGCAUUCCGGCAGCCCUACACAGGUAUGCCCUAGCUCCCAGACUCCGACGUGGUCUCCUUCUCCCAUAUGUCUCUCCGCAGCCUGGACAGAUUUUCCCUGCCCAGGCCCUGCACCUCAUUUCCACUGGAUCAGCAGAGCUUCCCAGGGAAGCUUCUAGAGUGUGACUAAGCCCCACAACACCAAGUUUCUGGGACACAGCUGCUGGCUGGGCCCCAGCAAGCCGGCAUCGCCUUAUAGGGCAUGCUCUAUGGCUGUUCUACAAAACUCAAGACUUGUAAGAUGCAGACAGUGAAGCUAGAGAGCAGGCUGGGAGGGGGGGGGGGGGG
rnacentral:sRNA from 1 species